rnacentral:misc_RNA from 1 species
AACGCACCUUGCGCUCUUUGGUAUUCCUUGGAGCAUGCCUGUUUGAGUAUCAUGAAAUUCUCAAAGCAUAACCUUUUGUUAAUUCAACUGGCCUUGCUUUGGAUUUGGAGGUCUUUGCAGAUGUCACAGUCUGCUCCUCUUAAAUAAAUUAGCUGGAUCUCAGUAUACACUUGGUUCCACUCGGCGUGAUAAGUAUCACUCGCUGAGGACACUGUAAAAGGUGGCCAGGCAAUGCAGAUGAACCGCUUCUAAUAGUCCAUUCACUUGGACAAUUACAUUUAUGAUCUGAUCUCAAAUCAGGUAGGACUACCCGCUGAACUUAA